rnacentral:lncRNA from 1 species
GCGUGCUGGCAGGAUAUGAAAGCAUCUUCGGUUGUGUGUCAAGAAUUCUGCAUACAGUAGCACAUUUGUAUGAAGGUGUGGUUAAUCACAGGUAAAUUGUUAUAUGCUAUGGAGGUACAUUUUGUGUCUUUUUGUCGAGAGCAAAACAUUUUUUAUUUUCAAUCAAAAAUAAUUGUUCUGAAAGCAACUUUUUUCCGACACAAAGGAAGUCAGCGCGGACACCUACAAAAAUGGCAUCUCAGGUUAUAUCAGCCUCCCACAUCUGAACUGGCUGACACAGAGGGCACAGCAUGAUCAUAGGUGAGAUGUCACUUGGUGGGGUCGACAGAGAUGUAGUAGUCCCAGUUAAUGAUCCAAGGUAUGUUUUGAUGUGAGAGAGGAAGCCAGUCCCGUCAUCGCCACCUCACCCGCUCUUAAGAUAACCUUCGGGCCAACUGAGGGCCCAAGGCUGGUUAGGAGACACCGUAAUUGUGAUGAACUGAGAGAAUAUUAGGGUAGCACUGUAAUUCAUGAAUCAUAUGCUGUCUGACGCUGUUCUUACCUCUUUACCUUUCUGUCUUCUACACCUCUCUCCACACCUCGUCUUUCUUCCUCAUUUUACAAUGCACACCAUAUGUGCAUUGAAGUACAGAUUGAACUUAUAUUUAUAAUAUAACAUUACAAUUAUAUAUUUACUUGCUUAUUGUGUAGUGGAGGAUAAAAAUAACUGUAUGCCUAUGAAUGUGUAGCUAGCUACAGUAUGUAGCCGAUCUGUGUAUGGACCCUAAAACAUUAGGUUCUGAACUAAUAUUCAUACCAAUCUAUUAACCUCAGCUAUCAUAGUUGUUGUAUCAACUUACAUUUAACAUUUUAGUCAUUUAGCAGACGCUCUUAUCCAGAGCGACUUACAGUAGUGAAUGCAUACAUGUGAAAUGCUGUAUUGAAAGAAGUUCAUUAUCCAGGUGUUAUAAAUACAUAAAUGCAUUAUAUAUAUAUAAUGCAUUUAUGUGGCAAUAAAUUAAUAAAACCAAAAGCUUACCUUGACAUGGAAGAGUUCCAGUGUUGGAUAGCAAUAGCCAGCUAGCUAACAAAAACAUCCCUCUCUGUUUGGGUAGGCUAAUCUAUACUAAACAAAAAUAUAAACGCAACACGUAAAGUGAUGGUCCAAUGUUUCAUGAGCUGAAUUAAAAGAUCCCAGAAAUUUUCCAUAAGCACAAAUGCUUAUCUCUCUCAAAUUUUGUCGACAAAUUUGUUUACAUCCCUGUUAGUGAGCAUUUCUCUUCUGCCAAGUUAAUACAUCCACCUGAUAGAUGUGGCAUAUCAAGAAGCUGAUUAAACAGCAUGAUCAUUACACAGGUGCGCCUUGUGCAGGGGACAAUAAAAGGCCACUCUAAAAUGUGCAGUUUUAUCACACAGUGCAAUACCACAGAUGUCUCAAGUUUUGAUGCAGCGUGCAAUUGUCAUGCUGACUGCAGGAAUGUCCACCUGAGCUGGUGCCAGAGAAUUGAAUGUUAAUUUCUUUACCAUUAAAUGCCUCCAACAUUGUUUUAGAGAACUUGGCAGUAGGUCCAACCGGCUCCACAACAACGAUGAUUUCGUUAUAUCGUCAGAAGACGAGGAAAGCCCUGACAUUCAGUGUAGCUAGCUACAUUCGCUAGCUAAGUGAAAGUGAAAGCAAAACAAUUACAACAAAAUAUAGCUAGCUCUCUCUCCCUCAAUUUCUUCUCCUUCAUUUUUAAAUAAAAAACAUUUGUUAACUUUUCAACGAUUGUCUUUCUCUCUCUUUUGAGGCACUGCAGAGCUAUCUAGCUGUAGCUUAUGCUGUCUUACUAGAUCCUUUGAUUGGGUGGACAAAAUGUAAGUUCAUGCUGCAAGAUCUCUCGUAGG